rnacentral:tRNA from 1 species
GGGCGUUUAGCUCAGUUGGUUAGAGCGUCGCAUUUACACUGCGAAGGUCCAAGGUUCGAAUCCUUGAACGCCCA